rnacentral:rRNA from 1 species
AAGCUCGUAGUUGAAUUUCGGGAUCAAUUUAUUGGUCGUGCUAUUGUACGUACUGGUAUUGUUGAUUCCUACCUUCUGACGAACCAUGAUGUCAUUAAUUUGGUGUCAUGGGGAAUCAGGACUGUUACUUUGAAAAAAUUAGAGUGUUUAAAGCAGGCUCACGCUUGAAUACAUUAGCAUGGAAUAACGAAAUAGGACGUUUGAUUCUAUUUUGUUGGUUUCUAGGAUCGACGUAAUGAUUAAUAGGGAUAGUUGGGGGCAUUAGUAUUCAAUUGUCAGAGGUGAAAUUCUUGGAUUUAUUGAAGACUAACUACUGCGAAAGCAUUUGCCAAGGAUGUUUUCAUUAAUCAAGAACGAAAGUUAGGGGAUCGAAGACGAUCAGAUACUGUCGUAGUCUUAACCAUAAACUAUGCCGACUAGGGAUCGGAUGAUGUUAAUUUUUUAAUGACUCAUUCGGCACC